ACGAACCGAGCGAACGUUGUUCGGAAUCACUGGGCUUAAAGGGCGCGUAGGCGGGCUGCCGCGUCCGGGGUGAAAGCCCCCCGCUCAACGGGGGAACGGCCUCGGAUACGGGCGGUCUCGAGGGGGGUAGGGGCACCUGGAACUGUGGGUGGAGCGGUGAAAUGCGUUGAUAUCCACAGGAACUCCGGUGGCGAAGGCGAGGUGCUGGACCCCAUCUGACGCUGAGGCGCGAAAGCCAGGGGAGCGAACGGGA
rnacentral:rRNA from 1 species